UCGGGAAUUUUGGGCAAUGGGCGAAAGCCUGACCCAGCAACGCCGCGUGAAGGAUGAAGUAUUUCGGUAUGUAAACUUCGAAAGAAUAGGAAGAAUAAAUGACGGUACUAUUUAUAAGGUCCGGCUAACUACGUGCCAGCAGCCGCGGUAAUACGUAGGGACCAAGCGUUGUUCGGAUUUACUGGGCGUAAAGGGCGCGUAGGCGGCUUGACAAGUCACUUGUGAAAUCUCUGGGCUUAACCCAGAACGGCCAAGUGAAACUGUCAUGCUAGAGUGCAGAAGGGGCAAUCGGAAUUCUUGGUGUAGCGGUGAGAUGCGUAGAUAUCAAGAGGAACACCUGAGGUGAAGACGGGUUGCUGGGCUGACACUGACGCUGAGGCGCGAAAGCCAGGGGAGCAAACGGGGAUUAGAUACCCUGGUAGUCCCUGAGCGGGCUGGCAAGGCGCAU
rnacentral:rRNA from 1 species